rnacentral:rRNA from 1 species
CAUACCUAUUCGAAGGGAUAGGGUCGGUUUGGCCGGAUUUCACACAAGUGUUGCAUGGCUGUCGUCAACUCGUGUCGUGAGAUGUUGGGUUAAGUCCCGCAACGAGCGCAACCCUCAUCCUUAGUUACCAUCAGGUUAUGCUGGGGACUUUAAGGAAACUGCCAGUGGUAAACUGGAGGAAGGUGGGGAUGAUGUCAAGUCAUCAUGGCCCUUAUGGAGUGGGCUACACACGUGCUACAAUGGUGAUUACAAUGGGCUGCAAGGUCGCAAGGCUGAGCUAAUCCUAAAAAAUCAUCUCAGUUCGGAUUGUUCUCUGCAACUCGAGAGCAUGAAGUUGGAAUCGCUAGUAAUCGUGGAUCAGCAUGCCACGGUGAAUACGUUCUCGGGUCUUGUACACACUGCCCGUCACGCCAUGGGAAUUGGUUUCACUCGAAGCU